rnacentral:lncRNA from 1 species
UGUGUUUUAACCUGAAAUAAUUUUCUUGAUAUUUGAAUUGCUUUCAGUGGGACAUUUGCUUUAAACCACAAGAUAUCUCCGUCUGGAUUAUCAGAAUACAAAAUCCCUUCUCUCCCCACCCCCCACCCCAACCAAAACAAACAAAGGAACAAACGAACAAAACCCCAAACCCACAACUCAGCUUCAAAUAAGCUUUGAAGAAAUGAGACUCUAAAUAUUUACAUAUGAGUCAAGAAAUAAAUCACAAACUAUUUACAAAAAUACACAAGCUUAUAUGCAUUAACAAUUUACACCAGUUCACAAAAAUAUUAAAACAUAAAAAAAACACUAUAUAAAUUAAAGUUAAGAACUCAGAAGUAUGAGCUAAGACUUCCUAGGAUGCUUCUCUCAUGCAGGUCAUGGUUGAAAAAUCAGAUUUUGCUAUCUUGGAAUCUAAACUGUAAAACAACCAUUUUUAUUCUUUGAACACUA